rnacentral:rRNA from 1 species
UACGUAGGGUGCAAGCGUUGUUCGGAAUUAUUGGGCGUAAAGAGCUCGUAGGCGGUUUGUUGCGUCUGCUGUGAAAACCCGAGGCUCAACCUCGGGCCUGCAGUGGGUACGGGCAGACUAGAGUGCGGUAGGGGAGAUUGGAAUUCCUGGUGUAGCGGUGGAAUGCGCAGAUAUCAGGAGGAACACCGGUGGCGAAGGCGGGUCUCUGGGCCGAUACUGACGCUGAGGAGCGAAAGCGUGGGGAGCGAACAGG